rnacentral:rRNA from 1 species
UACAGAGGGUGCAAUCGUUAAUCGGAAUUACUGGGCGUAAAGGGUGCGUAGGUGGUUUGAUAAGUUAGGUGUGAAAGUCCCGGGCUUAACCUGGGGAUUGCGCUUAAUACUGUUAAGCUAGAGUCCCGUAGAGGGAAGUGGAAUUUCCGGUGUAGCGGUGAAAUGCGUAGAUAUCGGAAGGAACACCAGUGGCGAAGGCGACUUCCUGGACAGAGACUGACACUGAGGCACGAAAGCAUGGGGAGCAAACAGG